GUCUAAAUCACUCACUAAUUUUAUAACUUCUUGUUCGUGUAAGGUCUCCUCUGUAGUCACAAAUGUUUAACGCGAGUAAUAAGCGCACAGCGUGGAUGCGGGCGGGCGGCGCUCGCGCUCGCAUGAAGGACUAUGGCGCACGGAGCUGCGUCUGCACAGAGAAAGUACUCGCGCACAGACUCCGAGGCGUCUGCCAAAUUGUCGUUUUCACGGUUAGGAAAUUGGUUGUCUUUUCCGGACGAAUCGCUCGGCACAAUGUGACUUUUUCGGCACAACUCUCCUAAAUCGUGCGAUGAUUGACUUUGGUAAUCUCGUUUGGGUAUUUUCACUUUUGAUUUGUUAUUAUAUUAUUAUGUAUUAAAA